rnacentral:hammerhead_ribozyme from 11 species
AACUGGUUGAGAGCUAGGCUGCUCUCCUGAUGAGCCGAUGGCAGGGCGAAACCAGUG